GAAUAUCAUAGCUACUUGCUUAACACACAUAUACAUCAAAGAGGAGAUAUGACUUUCCUAACUUAUCUGUAACAAUGGCUAAACAAAGGUUUGGUAAGAGCAAUUGAAGAAUGGUGAAUUACCCCAUUCAUUAAAAUUUUUAAAGUACUUAAACAUUAGACUGGAUAGAAUUUUACGGGGGAACAAUAUAUCUUAUGUUCUUUUUAAAAAGAAGAAGAAAGAGGCUGGGCGUGGUGGCUCACCCCUGUACAAUUUGGGAGGCCGAGGUGGGCGGA
rnacentral:lncRNA from 10 species